rnacentral:rRNA from 1 species
UACAGAGGGUGCGAGCGUUUAAUCGGAAUUACUGGGCGUAAAGCGUGCGUAGACGGUUAUUUAAGUCGGGUGUGAAAGCCCCGGGCUCAACCUGGGAAUUGCAUUCGAGACUGCAUUGCUGGAGUACGGAAGAGGAAGGCGGAAUUCUCGGUGUAGCGGUGAAAUGCGUAGAUAUCGGGAGGAACAUCAGUGGCGAAGGCGGCCUUCUGGUCCAGUACUGACACUCAAGUGCGAAAGCGUGGGGAGCAAACAGG